AAGAAAGAAAGAAAGAAAGAAAAAGAAAGAAAGAAAGAAAAAAGAAAAAAAAGAAAGAAAGAAAGAAAGAAAGAAAGAGAAAGAAAGAAAGAAAGAAAAAGAGAAAGAAAGAAAGAAAGAAAGAAAAAGACAAUUCUAUUAUACUUUCUGAAAGGACUCAUUAGACUACAAGAGGAAGUGUGCAGAGGAUAAUUGCAUAAGAACAAGCCAAAUACUGUAAUAUUACUGUAGGUCAGAAGAAGAAGGCUAUGAAAUGUGGGCACCUACACACAUCACGGCUGCUAAGGAGAAAGGAAAGAUAUUCAUCCAGUGAAAGCAGGUGAGCAGAACAGCAUCUUCUCAGCCCUUCCUAACCAAGGUGGAGGUCUAAGAAGUCCUGGGUGUUCUAAGCAACCCAAGGGAUCCCUUCUGAACUCCCCUUUUCCAAGACGAUAGCCAUUCUGCAAAGGGUAAGAUGUAUACUUGACACAAGGACUGUCUCCGAACCAGCCCACAAAAGAGGUGAAGAUGGCCAAUUGGGAACCGCACAGAUAGACUGUGAAGCAUACACACCCUUCAGACUGACCAAUAUAUGGGCUACAGUUCUUCACACUGGCAACGUAAGAAGAAAACAUUAUAAAAAUCAGUGAUGGAUUCACUCUGUGUACUAAGGGCCUCUAUCACCUCCUGCAUUAACCACCACCUCGCAUUCCCAUCUGGAACCCCUGGAAGCUCAUUUAUUAGUGCAAUGUCAUGGGUUCUCUUUAGUUUCUCAACUCAGCACGCUGGUUGGAGGCGGCUGGGUGCUCUCUCCAUAAAAUGUGUGACCUAGCACAGGCUGGGAGGGCAAACUUGCUCCCUCUGGACUGUGUAUCCUUGUGAGCAGAGUGACAAACUGCUUGUUGAACAAAUUUGUGAAAAUUUGCUGCAGAGUCAUUUGGGGUGGGCCACUACUGAUAAGACUUACAGAUUGUGAAUGGGAACAGAAAAUCUCAGUGAGACAGUACAAGAAUUAAUCUUUUUGAUGUGUAAUAAUAAUUUGUCGUGAAAUAAAAACACGCCAAGUUUGAAGGCAAUUUUACAGGAGUGAUUGCUCUGACAGAAUCAGCAUGUGGAGCUGUAGGUAUUAUAGCAAGCAGCAAGGGAAGCACUAGCCUAGAGGAAAUGUGCACAUAGCCAUCAGCAGGGCAGGCACAAGACAAAAAAGCUAAAAAUUCAGGUGAACUUUUCAGCAGAAUCAUAGACAGUAUUACAGCCGAUGGCAAUAGAAGUGUUUACCUGACAGAAAAGCAGUAUGUGCCACUUCAGGUUGGACAGUGAUGCACAAACCAAUGCAGUACGAGAAUCUAAGUUAUUCACAGUAACAGAGAAGUCAAAGGAAGAAGAUAAAAGUCCAUUACUGAGUAAAAGUAUGUCAGUUCUACAGCUUCCUCAAGAGAAUGUCUUCACUGGGGAAGCAAAAGAGAAAAACAGCUUAAGAAAAAUCUCAGGACAUUUUCCAUAGCAUAGUGACAAAUUGCACCUUUUCCAGUUUGUUAGCUAUUAUAUAUAUCUCCAGUAGGAAAAGGAUCAGUGGUACAUAUUUAUCUUUCUCCAUUUACCCCAGGAUGAAAGCCUGUAGAAAAGUAUGUAUGCCUUUUAGCACAAGGUGGCUGGUGCUACAUAUUCCCAGCAUCUGUUGCCAGUAUACAGGAGAAAUUUAUAUGGGAUUUUGUUUAAAGGUACUAGAAAGGUGAUUUAUCCUGUGUUGAAUAAAAAUACCAAGAAGAAUACGGCAAGGUUAGUUAGGCAUGGAUAAACCCUUGAGAAGGACUGAAGAUAACCUAUGUUGCCUGAAAAUUAAAAGCGACACCGGAAAACCUAAGACUCUACACACAUGCCAAAGUCAAACUAAAUCAAGCAAAAGCUCAGAAAACAAAGGCUCCUCAAAAGUAAAGUAGGCAUUGGUUUACAUGGGCUGGAAAAACAAAUCUAUAUAUCCUAUUUUUCUUUCUUCGCUGAGCUAGCCCAAAUAUAAGACAUUACAGAUGAGUGUAUGUGUCAAAAGCAUUGAAUUAGUUGUGACGCAGCUGACAUAACUAUAACUGACAGCAACAUUAUUUAGCUUAAGUAGUUUGCAGUUGAGUAUAGACUUAGACAUAAUCUUGCCAAUGGAACAGUUCCCACCCUAAUACUUGGGUAGGAAAUGGUGCCAGAUUAAUAAAGAUCUUAUUGAAAAGAAUCCAGAGCCAGAACCUAAUCCACAUUUAGAACAACUGAGUUCCAGGAUAGCAUCAGUGAUGCACGGAGCUGUCACCUAAGGACUUUGUUUUUCUUCCUAUGGAAAGCUAAAAUUCAGACUAGCUACAUUAUUAGACAUUGGAGACUUGCAGAAAUGGAGGGUGAAAUAGCAAAGCAAACUCCUCAGUUAAACUCAGUGUUCUCAAAUCCAUCUCCUCCCAGAAUAAGGGUCAGAGCUGGUACUAAACUUCAUGGGGAUUUUGAGCUUCCUGGCUGUUAAAGAUGUGUGUUUUUAAGAGUAAUUGCUACAUAAGUAAACCAUUCUUUUUUUUU